GAUGAACGCUAGCGGCAGGCCUAACACAUGCAAGUCGAGGGAGAAGCCCUUUCGGGGGCAGAAACCGGCGCACGGGUGCGUAACGCGUAUGCAACCUACCUUUCACAGGGGGAUAGCCCGAAGAAAUUUGGAUUAAUACCCCAUAAUAUUAUUGGAUGGCAUCAUUUGAUAAUUAAAACUGCGGUGGUGAAAGAUGGGCAUGCGUCCUAUUAGCUAGUUGGAGUGGUAACGGCACCCCAAGGCUACGAUAGGUAGGGGUCCUGAGAGGGAGAUCCCCCACACUGGUACUGAGACAGGGACCAGACUCCUACGGGAGGCAGCAGUGAGGAAUAUUGGUCAAUGGUCGGAAGACUGAACCAGCCAUGCCGCGUGCAGGAAGAAUGCCUUAUGGGUUGUAAACUGCUUUUAUAUGGAAGAAUAAGGCGUACGUUACGUGAG
rnacentral:rRNA from 1 species